ensembl:lncRNA LINC02044 long intergenic non-protein coding RNA 2044
UUUUUAGCUCAAUGCCAGGUGAUUCUUUUGUACAUUAAAUUUUUAGAAACAGUACCAAGAUAGAAUUUUGCAAGACAGCAGAGGACUCCCGGAUCACACAUGUGUUAGAAUAUCUGGAUUAAAUGAAUCAGACACCCCUUUUCCUGGAUGAUAUUUAUACACCUGAAUUGUGUGUUAAGGAGCCUGUGUUGCUUGCGUAGAUGCUGAAGAGUGGCCGAGCCUGGGAAGUGAUGAAGCAGAGGACAGAAGAGCCCCAGUCAGGGAUGCAGUGGAGAGCUGUGCAUUAAGCUGGCAGUUGGGAAGAAGAGCUGACAUAAAUAGUUCAUGGAGAGUCCUGGUGGGAGAAGGUGAUAUCUGUCUUACUGCAGAACUAGGGUAAUAUGAAGAAAACCAACAUGGAAAACCGUGUCUCCCUCCUUGUGUUGUUUUGGAGGCAGUCCAGGAAAGGAGGACGGAUCUACUUUCUAACUUGUGGAGAGAUCAUGGGCAAGUCACCCUGGUCUAAGUUUCUUCAAGGUAAACAUUACGUGUGCCUUCUCUGAUCUACCGGCUUCAACCAUGGAAUGGUCAUCCCUGUCUAGAGACUCAUAAACAACCAUGGAUGGAGCUGGCAUGGCACUUGGAGGCUGGAGGUGGUGAGAGGUUGUUGUACAGAGUAUUCAAUUUCUCCAGUGAAUUCAUCCAGUCAGACUCUCAUACAUUGGCUCUCAACAGACUCUUUUAUUUUCCCUUUUCCCUGCAUAGUCCUUCCAACCUGAAAUUCCCUUGCUUUCUCUUUGUAUAACUAAAUCUUAAGACUCAGGUUCACCUUCUCUUCCUCUGUGAAGCCUUCACUGAAUGCAAUUCACCCAUAACUCCCCUCUCUUACACCCCGAUAGCUGGUAGUGCCUAUGUUGUCCCACUUCUUAAGUUUCCACAUUGUCCAGUACUCUUUGUUAGGUUUCUGGGUAUUUAAGAGCCACCAGCUGGCAUUCCUUGCAGAUGGAUUCCAGAAGUCCCUGAAAAAGAAAUUGUAGAGUCAUAUUGGACUCAUAUUGAACACAGAAGGAAUAAAUUGUUGGGGUUGGGUGGAGGCGGUGACUGGACUCACAUGAGAAUAGACAACUGAUACACUCUUUCUUCAUGGGAAGAUAUUUAGCACAGAGAGCAUCCUUCUUUUCCUUCUCUGCUUCUUUCUCCCAGAGAGAGGGAUAAGGAGACCUGGGCUUGAACCUGAGGAGACCAGACUGGCCUAGACUGGAAGACUGGGCUAAGCUGUGGUGAGCUGUUUGCAGUUUAUAAACAAGUCCUGACAUCCCAGUUUGGGUGUUGGCAAGCAAUGUCUUCAGCCCAGAGAAAGUUCUCAGAGAUGCACCAAGGCCUCAGGCUAAACUGCAGAGUAGGCAAAACUCUUCACCACUGUUCCUCCCACUCCUUCAGUUCCCCAGCACCCCAGAUACCUCCAGCCCUCACACUGCCAACUUCGGGCAUUCCUUCCUUGGUGUCUAACUGGGCUUGAUCUUCAUAAAGACUAUAUGGUGAAGUUAGCUUUUCCUCUUCCCACCAGGUACUGAUCUCUUAAAACGAAUAAGAUGUAGGUAAUCAAAUUGGCUUUAUCUUUCUAUUAGGUAUUCUAGACUAAAAGCUCCAUUAAACUGAUGUAAUUUAGUAAGGGAGAUGUUGGGGGGCUAAGGGCUUUGUCUAUCUCUAUCAGCUGCUCUCCUCUCCCCACAAGCUAGACUUUGGAUAAAAUACCAGAUAACAGAUUUUGUGACUUGGCACAUGGCUUCCUUUCUCCCAGACUUCUUUGUGCCUCCCUCUUGCAACCAGCUAAAGAGUCAUCCUUGUGGGAACAACUGGGAAUUGGCACAGAGACUAUUGGAAAUCACAGGUGAUCCUGGAACCGAGUGUCUCCCGAAUGCCUUAUUAGUACAAGCCUCUUGGGACUACUUGGAACCUUCCAAAGGGAAUUUCACUCUCUUAAUUUCAUACUCAGUGCAGGAUAACCUUCUAUAAUGUUCCCAACUGGCAGCAGCCAGCCCUGGAUGAAGUACUUCCUGUAAGGAGAAGUUUAGUCCUUUCCAAGGCAGCCUGUUCCAUUGUCUGUACUUGUUGGGAAUCUCUUUUUGUAUAAAACAGAAGUUUAGUUACAGUUUUACUUUUAAGGAAUGUGGAAUACAUCUCUUCCCCAUGACAGCUCUUCAAAUUAUUAAACAACAGUGUGGUUCUCAGUACCUCUCUCCCUCCCUCUCUAUCCCCUCACACACACACACACACUCUCUCUCUCUAGGUUAGACAUUUACAUUUCCUCAAUGUUUCUCAUCUGACAUGGCUUUAAGAUCUUACAACCUCUGAUUCCCUUCUUUGGACAUUACACUUUGUUAAUAAGAAUUGGUCGGCUGGGCUCAGUGGCUUACGCCUGUAAUCACAGCACUUCGAGAGGCCGAGGUGGGUGGAUCACGAGGUCAGGAGUUCAAGAUCAGCCUGGCCAAGAUGGUGAAACCCCGUCUCUACUAACAAUAC